UCUCCCACUCUGACUUGUCUUCGAUCAUCACUCCCGCUCUGAGUUGCGAGCUCGAUCGCGCAGGCAAUGGCGGCCCGCGGUGGAAGGCUGAGGGCCCUUCCACUUGGUCCAAGGGGCGCUUGGGCUUGGAGCUGCUGCGGAGUUCGGACGCUGCUACUGCAAUGAGUACCGCAAGUGCGGGCUCCAGCACAAUGGAGAGCUCACCUGCAUCAAGAGCGCCCACUAUGGCUGCAUAAAAAAGUUCAAGACGCUUUGCUCCAAGCAUCCUGCUGGCCCCGCUGACAUGGGUGCGGCAGAUGCAGCUGGAGCCGGUGGCCGCAACCUCAGCGAGGCCAACGGCACCGGAGAGGAAACAGCUGCAUGAGAGCUGGCCUGCUGCCUGCUGGGGGAUGAGGGUGGUAUGCUGGAGGACAAGACAUAUUCGGCCACAGCCCAGGCUGAGAAUAUAUAUUAACUAAGUAGAAUAAAUAAUGCCAGACCAUCCUUCCUUCAUACUGUUACGUAGUAGCUUGUUAUGACUGAAUGUCCUGCCACUGAGAACGUUUGCUGUCCUGGUUAUAUGAACUUGAACAUGUGCUUGCCGUUUUAUAUAUGAUCAAUCAAUUAUAAAGAUUACAUCUCUGCAUGUCUGGGCUUCUCUAUCUCUCUUAA